GAUGAACGCUGGCGGCGUGCCUAAUACAUGCAAGUCGAGCGCUGCGGGGACGGGUGAGGAAGACGUGGUUACCCUCCUAAACGAACGCGUUAACGUGGGGAAACCGGUGCUAAACCGGCUACUUGUGGAUGGCUGCUGGCUGCACUAGCUAGUUGGUAAGGUAACGGCGUACCAAGGCAACGAUGCAUAGCCGACCUGAGAGGGUGAUCGGCCACACUGGGACUGAGACACGGUCCAGACUCCUACGGGAGGCAGCAGUAGGGAAUCUUCCGCAAUGGGCGAAAGCCUGACGGAGCAACGCCGCGUGAGUGAUGAAGGUCUUCGGAUCGUAAAACUCUGUUAUUAGAGAAGCGGUAUCUAACCAGAAAGCCACGGCUAACUACGUGCCAGCCGCCGCGGUAAUAC
rnacentral:rRNA from 1 species